GCCGGAUUAGCUCAGCCCGGUAGAGCGCCCGCCUUGUAAGCGGAUGGUCGGGAGUUCGAAUCUCUCAUCCGGCACCA
rnacentral:tRNA from 1 species